rnacentral:rRNA from 1 species
UACGUAGGGUGCAGGCGUUAAUCGGAAUUACUGGGCGUAAAGCGUGCGCAGGCGGUUUUCCAAGACAGGUGUGAAAUCCCCGGGCUCAACCUGGGAAUGGCAUUUGUGACUGGAAGGCUAGAGUGUGUCAGAGGGGGGUAGAAUUCCACGUGUAGCAGUGAAAUGCGUAGAGAUGUGGAGGAAUACCGAUGGCGAAGGCAGCCCCCUGGGAUAACACUGACGCUCAUGCACGAAAGCGUGGGGAGCAAACAGG